UCAUAUUAGUUUAAAUUUUAAGUCUGAUAAACGCUUAACAUUUAUUGUUAGUAAAAUUAGUAAGAAAUAAAUUUGAAUUUUACUUUUAAAGUAAUAAAAUAAAACCUAAUGUAUAGAAACUAUAGUGCAGAGCGAAUAUUGUUUAUGGAGGAUCGAUGACGGACAUUAGAUUAUUAUACUUACCUACCUACCUACUCCCCCCCCCCCUCGCCAUGGAAAAUUUUAUAUUUUUUUAUUGAAUUCUCCUACGCGUACCAAUAAAAAAAUACUAUACAAUUUUAUUCAGCAUCGAAUUUGUUAAAUUUAACGGCAGACAAUAUAAUUCAAAAACAUACUGUAAUUUAAUUUCAUGAAGAGAGAAGGUGUUUGUUUGUUGCUUUGUACACCCCAAAAAUUUUCCAAAAUUGAAUUUUUAAAAAUCCUCUCUUAACGGAUGCUUACGUCGCAAUAGCUAUCUGUAUUCCAAAUUUCAGCCCGAUCCGUCCUGCAGUGGUUUGGGCUAGACGAUGAUGAAUCAUUCAGUAAUUUAGUCAGUCAGUUGCUCAGUAAGGG